AGGAGCAUUGGACGCCCAUCUAAAGGAAAGUGGCACGCACGAAACCCUCUGCCCGACAGAUUCCAUCCCAAGUGGAUCUCUUCAGGGAUCCCGGGAGGGGACGGCUCCAGAGGAAGGAUAUCUCCAAAGACGAGGCUCCCUCGGCCUGAGUCGCAGACAGUGAUGCCGGGAGGGAGGCAAAGGAACUUGGAGGCAGCGGGUCCUGAGGCAGGUGCAGCUGCGGGAGCAGCCCCAUCAUUGCCUAGCGGCUCCUUCACCAGUUCCUUGUCGAAGAAAACGAAGCGCCGCCACUGCAGGUAGGCCGCCAUCUUGGCCGAAGGUCCCCGCCUCCAGGAGGGAGGUCAUGUGAGAGGAGCGCGCGGGUCACGUGACGGGACAGCUUCCUGGAGCCUGAGUGCACAUGCGCCGUGGAGUCCGAGUGACAGCUUCCCCAGGGCGGUAGGCGGGGCGACCGGAGAUUUUACUUUUAUUUAGAGAGAGCACGUGCAAGCAGGGGGAGGAGCAGAGGGAGAGGGAGAGAGAGUCCCAGGCAGACUCCCAGCCAAGUGCGGAGCUCCACACCAGGCUGGAUCCCAUGACCCUGAAAUCAUGACCUGAGCCGAAAUCACGACCUACCCUUUCAACCGACUGAACCAUCCAGGCACCCCAGACACAGAAAGAGAGAGAGAAAGAGGCAGAGACACAGGAGGAGGAG